rnacentral:rRNA from 1 species
AUGAUCGCCGACGACGACCACCCCGCCACCCCGCCGCCCUCUCCGCCGCCACCGCCACCGCCACCGCCACCGCCAUCCCCGAGCCUGGGGAGGCGGCUCCUCGGCUCCAUCCGGGCCCUCUCCUCCGCCAUCGCGCCCUCCACUCCCGCCGCCGCCGCCUCCUCCUCCUCCUCCUCCUCCUCGCCCAUGCUCGGGCUCAGCCUCCUGCUCCACCUCAAGCCCGACCUCCACCUCCACCUCCACGACCCACCGCCACCCUCAACCCCCGCCGACCAGGACAAGGACCACCAGCAGGCGCCUCCAACCCACGCUCCCAGGGCCAAGAGGGCUCUCCACCUUCCUCAACCCCCCACCCCAUCGCCAUCGCCAUCGCCAUCGCCAUCGCCAUGCUCAUCCCGACCUCCUUCCGCUGCCGUGGAACUGGAACACCACCAGGUCCAGGAGGAGCAAUGUACUAGUACCACCUCUUCCUCUUGUGAAGAACUAACAACAGCCAUGGAGAAUGAUGAUGAUGCUGUGCAAGUUCAAGAGGCGGCGGUGGAGCAGCAAGAUGCCACCCACCCAAGGGAUGAAGAUAUUGCUGUUGAGGGACAAGAGACACCGGAAGCUCAUCAGCUGGGAUCAACUGAGAAUGCUGAUGCUCUUGUGCAAGUUCAAGAGGAAGGUGAAAGCGCAGAUGCCACUGCUGUAGAUGACCAUGACAAGGCAGUGGAGCAAUGCACCACUUAUCAUGACUUGGGAACAACCAUGGAGAAUGAUGUAGCUAAGGAUGAUCCGGAGGAGGCGGAGCAAGGUGUCAUUGACCAAGGGGAUGCAGCCAUAGAUGAUGUCAAAGAUCACGAGGUGCUGCUGCUAGUUGCCGUGGAAGGAACGCGCGCUACCACAGAUGACAUUGCUGCUGUCGAGGAUCAAGGAAACAAUGUGGAGCAAUGUACCACUUAUUAUGACCUGGGAACAACCAUGAAGAGUGAUGAUGAUGUGGAUGACCAGCAAGUGGUGGAGGAACGUGUUGUCGAUUUAACCAUGGAUGAUGAUGAUUCCGUCCAAGAUCACAAGGUGUUGCAGCAAGGUAUCAUUGACGGAACCGAUGACAUUGCUGUUGAGAAACAAGAGAAAGUGCUGGAGCAAUGUUCAAGAGCAACCAAGGAUGAGUACACUGUCAAAGAAAAGGAGAUGGUGGUGGAGCAAGGUGUCAUUGACCCAAGGUACAUGGAUCUUGCCACGGAAGAUCAGGUCAAGUUGUCGAUCGUAGACGACCAGGGUACAGUGCCCAUGGAUGAUAUUGUGGUGAAAGACCAUGAUAAGGCUGUGGUGCAAUAUGCCAGCGAUGCAAUAGUAACAAUCAAGGAUGAGAGUCCUGUGGAGGAACAUGAUACGGUGGGGAAUCAAGGUGUCAUCGACAAAAAUGGCAGAACCAAGGAUGAUAUUGAUGUGGAGGGACAUGGCUAUGUGAAGGAACAGGUCAUCGUCGAUAACUGGGGUACAUCCAGUGAUGCUACUGCUUUGGAAGGUCAGAAGAAUGAGGCUGAGCCACGCAUCGGUGAUGAACAGAUAGCAGGCAAGGACAUGGAUGGUGUUCAUGCUGAGGGGAACAUGUUGGAGCAAAGGACCGGCGAUAAACAGGGAGCAACACAGUCUGAUUUCACUGUUGAUAAGCACAAGGAUGUAGCGGAGCGUGUCCGCCAUGAGCGGGGUGCACCUGAGGAUGAUCGUGCUAUGGACAGGACAGCUUAUCAAGGUACCGGAGAUUGGGGUAUAGUUAGCAAGGAGAAGUAUAAGUUGCCUGCUAGAAGAUAUCCACAAAAGCCCAGAAAACUUAACUGCCCCUCUUACAUGUCAAAAGGGACCUGCACAUACGGGCCCUCAUGCCACUUCAAUCACCCACCGCAGCUUAAAUCUAGGUCAGAUGAAUCAUGGCGUCCCUCUGAACGAAGAAACCAUGGCGCUGCAGAAAUUCUGGAACUGAACCGCCUUGGCCUUCCCAUUCGAGAAGGAGCAAGAAACUGUGACUACUAUAUGCGAACCGGUGCUUGCAGAUAUGGCAAAAACUGCCAUUUCAACCAUCCAGACCAUGUCAUUGAUGCUCAGUUCAAUCCACCAACAGGGUGGGAGGAUAAUGCUUUGCAAAUGGAGAAAUCUUCUGACCAUACAUUAGAUGAGACAUCACGCAUGAAGAAAUCUUCCGAUGAUGCGACCUUCGAUGACAGAUCACACAUGAAGAAAUCUUCCGAUGAUGCGACCUUAGAUGACAGAUCACACUUGAAGAAACCUUCUGAUGGUGCGAUCGUAGAUGACACAUCAUACUCAAAGAAGUCUUCUGACCAUGACAACUCAUCUAGCUCUGGUGUCCUGCCACCAAGCAUAUUUAGAAUGCUUCUACCUCCCCAAAAAGUACUGCCUAGUACGGAAGGAAAGGCGAAAAAGAAGUCAGACUGGUCAUCAGACGAUUCGGAUGGUUGCUGUUCAGCAGAUAGUUCAGAUGGACCUUUGUGCAAGCAGGGGGAGCACGUGGAUUACCCUGAGAGGCCUGGCAGACCAGAAUAUCACCACCCAAAACAGUCAAAAGACAAAGAAGAGGUACACUACCCCGAGAGGCCUGGCAGAGCAGAUUGCCCCUUCUACAUGAGAUUUGGUGAUUGUAAAUUUGCAUCAGCAUGCAACUAUCACCACCCAAAAGACAAAUACCCAGCUGCGAGACCUGAUGAACCAGAAUGCCCAUUCCUUAUGAAGCGUGGGUACUGUAAAUUUGGGGCACAAUGCAAGUUUUAUCACCCAGAGGAUUCAAAUCCUACCGUGCAGAGCCCAACAGAUGCAAAAAGAUCUGUUACCACUGAUGAACAUCAUCCAUCUACAAGAAUCACAUUACAAGACUAUAUGCUUCCCCAGCAACCGCAGUAUCCUGAGAGACCUGGUCAGCCAGAGUGCCGGUACUACAUGCAGUUUGGGAAAUGCAAAUAUCUGUCUGCAUGUAUAUUUCACCAUCCAAAAGAUAGACUUGCAGCUCACUCGGAUCAGAUUGGACCUGAAAUACAUGGCAUGCCAGAUUGUCCUUUCUAUAUGAAAGCUGGGAAAUGUCAAUUUGGAUCAGCAUGUGAAUUUCGUCAUCCCAAAGAUAUACAUUCAACUACAGAGGAAGCAUUUGGUCAGAGAACUGGCUCGGGGGCAUACGACAAUUUGUCAAGGUCAGAUAAUGGUGUGGAGCAACAAGAAGAGAGCAUCAUGUAUCCUGAAAGGCCCGGUGAACCAGAGUGUGCCCACUACAUGAGGCAGGGGUACUGUAAGUUUCAGAUGAACUGCAAAUACCAUCAUCCUAAGAAACAUGAAGUCAUCCGCGCCGACCACUUGAGCAAAGCAGGGACACGCUGGUUACCGCAUGAAUGCUACCAACGGAAAGCAUUGUCUUGA